rnacentral:RNase_P_RNA from 1 species
GUAAAUCAGGCAAUCGCCGUGCGCACUCUUUGCGCAUGGAGGAAAGUCCGAGCAUCGCAGAACAGGAUAAUGGAUAACGUCCACCGAGGGUGACCUCAGGGAGAGUGCAACAGAGAUAUACCGCCCGCUUUAACGCGGGUAAGGGUGGAAAGGCGAGGUAAGAGCUCACCGGCUUGUAUGGUGACAUAUGAGUCCUGUAAACCCUAUCCGAUGCAACACCGACAAAGGCAAUGGGCUGUUCGUCCGCUUGAGCCUUGACGGGUGGCUUGAGAGAUAUGGCAACAUAUUCUCCAGACAGAUGAUUGCCCACGACAGAACUCGGCUUACAGAUUUACUCGU